UCAACAGCCCCAGCUCUGGGUCCUUUAAAUUCAGUCCUUCUCUUAGGCUUCCAAACGGGCCUUGUCACCUUCUCAGGGUUUACACCACUUUGCAUGUGGGGGAACCUGGACCUGCCCACUGCUCCAGGUUCCAACCCAGGGACCCUAUAAACAGCAGUCAGUCACCUACUGCUCACAUCAAUUCUCUACUGCUACUUCCCUGGGUCUCUUCCCACCUGGCCCCUUUAUCUUCACCCCUUAGCUCAGGGUUACAGUUCUCAGAUCCCCUCUCUGCCAGCUUAAGUAAUUGCAGCCAAAGCCAAACUUUGGUUAGUCCCUGAGCUCCUGUGAGGGAGGGAGAGGAACCCAGUCCCAGCUGCUCCUUUUAGCUAAGACUGCUGGUCUCUGAUGGGCUGCUUCCACAAAGGCCUCUCUAGGAAGUCCUGGAAGACCCAACUUCCUUUCCUGGGGAGGGUUUAGUAGGACUGCAGGACCUUUAGCAGGAGGCCAGGUACACCCAUCACAGCAUACUUCUCUUUUGUAAGACCAAAGCUGCAAACACACCUUAGGAGAGGCAUUUGCACUAGAUAUCGACCAGAAGUCCUUUACAAAGCGCACUGCACCGUGGUCAAGGAAGCACAGCCAGCUUUUGGUUAAUCUCUGGUGCAAGGCCAGCAAAACAAUUGAUUUUAGUAAGAGUAGCAGGCAUGACCAUGCAUAUCAGCAAAUAGCAAAGAAGCUAGUGGUGUUUGAAAUGUAGCAGCCUGGUGACCAGUGCAGGAAACGGAUUAAGAGGCUCAAGACCGAGUACUGGACAACCAGUGACCACCACCACACCUCUAGCAGCUCGCCAACAUCGUGCUUAUUUUAUGAUGAGUUCGACUGAGUGCUGGGGACUGCACCAAGCAUGAAGCCACCAGUGGUGCAUGAUGACCUGGUCAGCUAGGCUGAUGCCCGGCAGACCCAAGAAGACAGCAUGGAAAUCGAUGGGAGCCAGCAGCAGGUGCCAAAUGAGGCAAAUGAAGUGACUUUGCUGAUGAAACUGGUCCUAGAGGAGGCUUUGCCACAGGAGCAGCUGCAGCACAUCCUGGGGCCAUACUUGGAGGAGCUUUUUGAUGCCCCUUCCCCCUGGGGAACAGCCCACCACGGAACCGGCAGUGGAGACAUAAUAGGAAGAAGCCAUCCCAGAGCCUGCUUGGAAUGACAUCUCUCUUUGCCAAUCCGGCACCACAAGAACGGAUGUGGCCUCCAAAAUCUGCAAUGCCUGAAAUAAGAGAGAAGGAUUCUGUAGCACAACGCAGCCACCAACUUCCCCACAAACUCCAUUUCUGG